GAUAAUUUAACUAACCAUCGCCGAUUUUUUCUCACUAAAGCGACACAUAUCUCUCGUGAUACAGACGCGGCGGCGUGCGGCCAUGGCGUGAUCCAUCGGCGAUUCGGCCGCGACGCCGGCACGAUCCAUCGGGGAUUCGGCCACGACGCGAGGUGCGGUGGCUACAGGCAAUCCGGCGACGACGGCGUGGUGGUUCAUAGGCCGAUCGUCCUCAUUGUUGUGAGCCAGGCGUACGAGAACCGUAUCAAUCAUGGCAGAGGUUUCCGGGCUUUCGGCCAUAACCUGGAGGCAAACCGUCCAACGAUGGCAGCUGCUCACACGGAUCCUCGAUCGACGAUGGUGUCUAGUCAAUGAAUCACGGCCACAACGUCCGGUAGAAACGCAUACUGCACCAUGUCUAUGGUUAUUUGAUUUCAGGUUCAGAGCUAAUAUCGAUCUGCCAAAAAUCAGAGGCGACACGUAAGGCAUUUGUUCCAACCUCCCAGAGAACUGAAUAGAUUCUGAAUUUUUCAGCAGCAUAUAUAUCUACCUCUUAUUUCUUUUUCUCUAUUUUUCAAUCGACUAGUUGAUUCGGAAUCCUGUGAGCAUGAGCUCAUAUAUACCUCUUGUUUUUUGUAUUUGUAGAUGAAUUUUGUAUCAUACUUCUAAAUUUUGCUCGUGAAAAAGCAUAUAAUACUGCACACAUGAAAAGC
rnacentral:lncRNA from 1 species